rnacentral:rRNA from 1 species
GAUGAACGCUAGCGGCAGGCUUAAUACAUGCAAGUCAAGGGGCAGCAUGGUGUAGCAAUACACUGAUGGCGACCGGCAAACGGGUGCGGAACACGUACAGAACCUUCCUUCGAGCGGGGAAUAGCCCAGAGAAAUUUGGAUUAAUACCCCAUAGAAUAUUGGAGUGGCAUCACUUUGAUAUUAAAGAUUUAUCACUCGAAGAUGGCUGUGCGUCUGAUUAGGUAGUUGGUGAGGUAACGGCUCACCAAGCCAACGAUCAGUAACUGGUGUGACAGCACGACCAGUCACACGGGAACUGAGGAACGGGCCCGACUCCUACGGGAGUCAGCAGUAAGGAAUAUUGGUCAAUGGACGCAAGUCUGAACCAGCCAUGCCGCGUGAAGGAUGAAGGUCCUCUGGACUGUAAACGUCUUUUAUAUGGGAAGAAAUCCUUGAGUUCUUUCGAGGUUGACGGUACCAUAGGAAUAAGCACCGGCUAACUCCGUGCCAGCAGCCGCAGUAAUAC